rnacentral:rRNA from 1 species
GCUGGCGGCAUGCCUAACACAUGCAAGUCGAACGGAAACGAUGGGAGCUUGCUCCCAGGCGUCGAGUGGCGGACGGGUGAGUAAUACUUAGGAAUCUGCCCAUUAGUGGGGGACAACAUUCGGAAACGGAUGCUAAUACCGCAUACGCCCUACGGGGGAAAGCGGGGGAUCUUCGGACCUCGCGCUAAUGGAUGAGCCUAAGUCGGAUUAGCUUGUUGGUGAGGUAACGGCUCACCAAGGCGACGAUCCGUAGCUGGUCUGAGAGGACGAUCAGCCACACUGGGACUGAGACACGGCCCAGACUCCUACGGGAGGCAGCAGUGGGGAAUAUUGGACAAUGGGCGCAAGCCUGAUCCAGCAAUGCCGCGUGUGUGAAGAAGGCCUGCGGGUUGUAAAGCACUUUCAGUAGAGAAGAAAAGCCUAGGGUUAAUAACCCUGAGUCUUGACGUA